rnacentral:rRNA from 1 species
CCUACGGGUGGCAGCAGUGAGGAAUAUUGGUCAAUGGGCGGAAGCCUGAACCAGCCAAGUCGCGUGAAGGAUGACGGAUCUAUGGUUUGUAAACUUCUUUUAUAUAAGAAUAAAGUGAGGAACGUGUUCCUUUUUGUAUGUACCAUAUGAAUAAGCAUCGGUUAACUCCGUGCCAGCAGCCGCGGUAAUACGGAGGAUGCAAGCGUUAUCCGGAUUUAUUGGGUUUAAAGGGUGCGUAGGUGGUUAAUUAAGUCAGCGGUGAAAGUUUGUGGCUUAACUAUAGAACUGCCGUUGAAACUGGUUGUCUUGAGAAUAGAUGCGGUAGGCGGAAUGUGUGGUGUAGCGGUGAAAUGCAUAGAUAUCAUGCAGAACUCCGAUUGCGAAGGCAGCUUACUAAUCUAUAACUGACACUGAAGCACGAAAGCGUGGGGAUCAAACAGGAUUAGAUACCCGGGUAGUC